UGUCUUACACAUUGGAGUAUAUAUUUCCAUCCCCGCGAGCCCUCCUCAUUCAUUUCCGCCAGCCGUGACCUCAGAGUGACACCGUGCCGUGAUCUACGUGUCCAGGAAUUCUCUGAAGCUACACCAUGAAGCUGUUUGUCUGUAUGAUGCUGGUGACGAUGGUUGUCAUGGCAACGCUGAUCGACGACUCGGAGGGAUGGAGGCGUCGGCGCAGGCGCAGAAGGGGUCGUCUGGAUAUCGAUACAGAUGCUGACUCCGAGUUGAGGGAGGUUGUGGAAGAGGCGAGGUCACUCCUGGAAGAACUUGAUGAGGCCAGUGAACACUUGGACACACGGGAACUAGACAACGAUGACGUCGAGGACACACUCACGGAUCGGAAAGGAGGUCAAACGAGAAGAAACCUCCAGCAAAGAAUUUAGUCAGCUUUGAAUGUCUCUUUUUCUAGAAACCAUUGUUAGCCAAUUAUAGAGCGCUCGGUGCAAUGAUGUCAUUUUCCCACGGACGUUGAGUUGAAACUGGUUCCGAACCAAACGUCAAUUAACCGUCGAAUAUUUUUCUUCGAUUGAAUCUUUUAUCUCGAUCAUGUUAUUCCUCUCCCGUACAUGUAAUGUUACCUAACUCAAAGAGAAUGUCACUUGAGAUGGCGAAACAACUUUGUGCCUAAUAAUGGAUUCUAUCAGCAAUGCAUUUGAAGCAAAUACUGCAUUUUCAUCGUUCAUGUUAUACAUGUACAGCAUUUUGUAAAUUUGUAAAUUUAUGGUUCAAUAAAACGUAUCGACAAAACUUGCGAA